rnacentral:lncRNA from 1 species
CUCCCGAGUAGCUGCAGUUACAGGCACCCACCACCAUGACCAGCUAAUUUUUGUAUUUUUAGUAGAGACGGGGUUUCACCAUAUUGGCCAGGCUGGUCUCGAACUCCUCACUUCAGGUGGUCUGCCCGCCUCGACCUCCCAAAGGGCUGGGAUUAUAGGCGUGAGCCACCAUGCUCAGCCAAUUUUUAUUUUUUAUUUUUCAAAAUUCUAUUUUAUUUUAGGUCCUGGGAUACAUGUACAGAACGCAGGAUUGUUACAUAAGGAAACGUAUGCCGUGGUGGUUUGCUGCACCUAUCAACCCAUCGCCAAGGAACACUGGAUAAUGGCUCAGCAGAUGGUUGGAUACAUGAAAAAAGUAGCUGAAGUGGUGGUGAAAAGACUCCUUCUACUAUUCUUCUUUGAGCCCUUCUGGUACAUCUUAAAUGAAAUUACUUUUGUUACCAUAAACUAAGAGAAAAAGAAUGAAUAUUUGUUUUUCCUUCAACGGUAAUCAUCAGAAAUCCAAAGAAGUGUGGCUUUUCAUACUCACGAAAUCCAAUUUUGGAUCUUCAUCCGAGUUCAACCCCACAUUCCCCCUUAAAUGAGAAGGCAGAAGACCCUCAAGCACCCGGUGGCUUCUUGCCACCAUUUUGCAGGUGACAGUGUUUUGUUUGAGAAUCCACUCAGCUUUGAAUCUGCCGCAAGCCCUGGGAAGCUGGGCUCCACCACGGAGCUCUGAGUUAUAGUGAUCUCUCUCAUUUUCAUCAAAUCAUGACACCUUUCAGCAUGACAUCAAACAACAAAGGAGGUUUGAAAUAUUUGAAAUUUAGGGGACAGAUGCAGUGGCUCAUGCCUGUAAUCCCAGUGUUUUGGGAAGUCAAGGUGGGAGAAUUGCUGGAGGCCAGGAGAUCAAGACCAGCCUGGGCAGCAUAGGAAGAUCCUAUCUGAUAUGGUUUGGAGGUUUGUCCCCUCCAAAUCUCCUGCUGAGAGGUGCUUUCCAGUGUUGGAGGUGGAGCCUGGUGGGAGGUGUUUGGGUCAUGAGGGUGGAUCCCUCAUGAAUGGCUUGGUUUCAUCCUUGUGAAUAUGCAUUGAUUUCUCUCUCUAUUAAUUCUUGCAAGAUCUAAUAGUUAAAAAGAGCCUGGCACCUCCUCCUUGCUUUCUUGCUCCCUUUCUCACCAUGUGACAUGCCUGCUCCCCUUCUCCCUUCUACCAUGAGUAAAAGCUUCCUGAGGACCUCACCAGAGGCUGAGCAGAUAGAUGUUGGUGUCAUGCUUAUAAAGCCUGCAGAACCAUGAGCCAAAUAAACCUCCUUUCUCUAUGAAUCACCUAGUCUCAGGUAUUUUUUUAUAGCAACACAAUGGACUAACACACUAAGUCUACAAAAAUAUUUAAAAAUUAGCCUGGCACAAUGGUGUGCACCUGUAGUCUCAGCUACCUGGAGGCUGAGAAGUGAGGAUCACUUGGACCCAGAAGUUCAAGGCUGCAGUGAGCUAUGAUUGUGCUACUGCACUCCAGACUGGAUGACAAAAAAAGAAAAAGAAAAAGAAAGAAAGAAAAAGAAAUCUUUGGGUUCACCAUUGCAGUCACCUAAUGAGUGGUCAGUAAAUGUUAGGCAGGAUUUUAAUAUUGGCCAAUCUGUGUCAGGACAUUGUAGCAUAGCAGGCACAGUGUCAUGCCUAAAAUUAGAGUGACUCUUGAGGGUGAGAGGGAGCACCAUUAAUAAUUUCACUGAGACAAGGGCAGAAAAUGGGACAGCCCCAAACUUAGAGCCAUCCUCACUCAAAUCAUGUCCUAUUUCUUCAGCAUGGGUCUUGCCUGCAGCUAUCGGGAGGGUCCCCCUUUUCCAGUGAAUGCUGCUUUCAGUGUGACCUCUCCCCUGGCUUAGAUGGGCCUGAUUCCUGAUUGAGAUCCAUCUACUUGUCAUCCGUCUUCCCUGGACCCCACCUAAAAAAGCAACAACUGUGACUGGCUCACAGGCUAGCCGGCUCAAACAGUACAUUGUCCUGGAGCUGAUGCAAAGGGCAAAAUCAUUCAUGGUGUCUGGCCACUGGCUCCUUCCAUCAAGAUAAAGCCCUCUUCAGCGGGGAACUCUAGCCACGGAAGCACUCCUGGGCGCCCAAACACAGCCGCCCCUCUCAUCAGCCCACAGCCGCGGUAGCACUUAGAGCCACAGAUGACAAAGACCCUUCACAGAGGGGAUCGAUGACAGGGUGAGCGGAGGAGAGCUGGCAGGAACAAAGAUCCUCUGGUGCUCAGAAUCUGCUCUGUCCUCCAGGGAAAGGCAAGCGAACAUUGUGCUGGUGAUCAUUUCUGCACCUGCCCGCCUGCCCCUCCCAAACACACACUCUCAUUUUUUUUUUAAAGUCAGUUGUCACUAAGAAAAAAAAAAUCUGCUGCAGCGAAGUUUUUUUUCAUUCUCUGUGAUAACCAUGCCAAAUGUAAUGUUUAUAAGGUGAAGAAUGGAGGAAAAAAGACCUCUUUCUGACUAUUCUCUCAGACAAAUCCUUGGAAAAAGUAAAAUUCUAUCAAACCACUUUUUUAAAACUUGAAAUUACUGGAUUAGAAGAGAGUGUGUAAAAUCUACUGCUUCAUUUUCUUUUUUUUUUUUCCAGGAGGAUAAGCAUUCAUAGCUUUUUUAGUCUACACAUUGCAUUUUUCCUCCCCAUCUUCCCUGUUCCUGCAACUCAAAAAUGAGAGUUAAUAAUGCCUGCCUCUCCUGCCUCUGAGGAUUUUGUG